AAACAGAGCAGCCUCUUCUUUAGAGAGCCGCGCUCUGGCAACACGCUCCCUCCUUUCCCCAGGAGGAGCCCGAAUGUGGCAACCAAAUAAAUCCCAGGGCGAGUCGGUGCGAGGAGGGGAGCGAGCUCCCGCGCGCUCUCGGAUGGAUCUAAAAGAGAAGAAGGAAGUUGUUGAAGAAACAGAAAAUGGCAGAGAUGCACCGGCCAACGGCAAUGCUAACGAGGAAAACGGGGAGCAGGAGGCCGACAACGAAGUAGACGAAGAGGAAGAGGAAGGUGGCGAGGAAGAGGACGAGGAGGAAGAGGGUGAUGGUGAGGAGGAGGACGGCGACGAAGACGACGAAGCUGAGGGAGCCACAGGCAAACGGGCAGCUGAGGACGACGAGGUAGGCAGAGCACCCCUUGUGUCCCGAGUGGGUUUUGGGGUGGAAUCAGUGGGGUCGGAGGCACCAGGCUGGGCUUUGGGACCCGGAUCCUGCCCGUGUGGUUCCCGCUGUGUGUGCCCCUGGGGGAUUCGGCCCAGUUCUUCAUGUACUGGCCUGGCUGUGAUCACCCUGGGUUUGGGAUCCCAGUGCUGUGGUGGGAUGGGACAGGGGUGCUCCGGCCCCAAAACCAGCUGCCAGAGGCUUCAUGCUGUGGGGAACACUUCUGCUGCAGGGACAAAGCAGAACAAGAGCAGAGGGACCCAAAAUCUCCUUUAUUUCUGCCCCUUUAUUCUGUUGUCCCCUCCCCUAACGGCUUUACCUUUCCCCUCAGGACGACGACGUCGAUCCCAAGAAGCAGAAAACCGACGAAGAUGACUAGGCAGCAAAUUAUUAUUAUUUUUUUUUUUAAAUAAGGAGGAAAACAAACCAACAAAAAAGGCCAGCGCGUCCUC
rnacentral:lncRNA from 1 species